UACGGAGGGUGCAAGCGUUAUUCGGAUUUACUGGGCGUAAAGCGCACGUAGGCGGCAUUGCAAGUCGUAGGUGAAAGCCCUCGGCUCAACCGAGGAAUUGCCUUCGAAACUGCGCUGCUUGAGUCCGGGAGGGGGGAGCUGAAUUCCCAGUGUAGCGGUGAAAUGCGUAGAUACUGGGAGGAACACCGGUGGCGAAGGCGGCUCCCUGGACCGGUACUGACGCUGAGGUGCGAAAGCGUGGGUAGCAAACAGG
rnacentral:rRNA from 1 species